GGGAUUUUUAAAUUUGCGAACGGGAGAGACGCGAGAAAAUCAUGCGAGGAGAGAGGAAACGAGCAAAUGUGUUUUAGAGGGAUGAGACGUCCUUUUUCUCUG